AGCCACUCUGAUUUCAAGAUGGUGAAUGACCAUGCCAUUCACAGAGGACGGAGUUCCCUUCCGGCACGGACCUUGUCAAGCAGGCUCCUGAGACAGCAGAGCAGACAGGUAGAGAGGAUUGGACCUCUGGUGUCCUCUAAGAUUUGGUCUGAUAUUCCGGGAUGUCUGCUACGCCAGAGCACUCUCUGCACAUCCGUUCCUCUAUCCUGUCCUCUUUCAUGUAGAUGAGAAUCUGAGUAUGGUAUGCCUGUACUCUCAGAAGUUAAGAGGCUGUGGCAAAUGGGUCGUGAGAGUAAAGCCAGCCCAUGGACACCAGGGAAUGUAGACCAGUAUUAGAGGGUUUGUCUCCGAUGCAUGGGUCUUAGGUUUGAAAAAUAAACCAAUUCCAGGGCUGGGGUGUGGCCCCCUAGUGGGCAGAA